UCGCAACUGUUUUCAGUAUUUGAGCGAAACGUUUCCCGCGAUGAGUGAAGCUAAAUUAAAAGAAGGGAUUUUCGAUGAAUCUCAAAUUCGGAAUUUAUUUUCAGACGGUAGUUGUCUUGAUGAAAUGAGUGAUAUUGAAAAUGCUACUUGACUAAGUUUUAAAAAUGUAUCUCAGGCCUUCUUAGGAAAUACGAAAAAUGAGAAGUACCAAAACUUAGUUGACGAGUUGUUGGUAAGUUAUAAAAAUUUACGUUGCUUGAUGAAUCUUAAAAUGCACUUCCUACACUCUCACCGCGACUAUUUCCCUCAAAACCUCGGAGACUAUAGUGAAGAACAAGGUGAAGAACGAUUCCAUCAAGAUAUAAGCGAAAUGGAGAGUUAGUAUCAAGGGAGGUGGAACGUCAACAUAAUGGCAGAUUUGUGUUGGACGCGGAAGAGAGAUAUAAAGAAAGAAAAUAUGAAGAGAAAGAAAAAUGCACCGCACCGAAUAUUUGAGGAAAAAAGAGUUCGUCAUACGAGAAGAACGUGUCAACUCAAGUACUACCCUACCAGCUAGUAGAGUUUGUGGAUGAGGUUGACGUAAAUGGCUUGCGAUCAAUUGAAUGUGUACUAAAUUCUUGGAUCACAUAUGACAUGGGACUUGGGUCAUGCGUUGUGCGGUAUAUGCUACCUUCUUACAAGAGAGAGGAUAAACGCCUGAUUCAAGAACUAAUUUUUAAAAAAAGCUGAGGCACCGGAAAGUUGGUCUGUGUUUCGAUUUGACUUGAAAGGAAACGCAAGAACACAUGCAGAGGGGUUGAAGCGGAUUAAACUGUCCAAUCAAGAAUUUGUCUACACAACCAUGUCGGAGGACAACGGAGUGAAACAAUCUCAAGCUAUAACCGAUGUACUGAAAAAGAAAAAGUGUGACCAGACCGAGGAAAUAAAAAAAUUAUUGAGCCAGUGAAAUUUGUCAGAUACAGAAGAGGACAACUCGAAUAAUGCUGAUUUGUAAUCUGCUUGCGACAGAAGUUCUUCAGACUCUGAUGCCAUUCCUGCCAAGUUUCGUGCAAGAAAUAAGAAAGUUUUUAACAAGCCUUUGGUUGAAGUUAGAACUGGACAAAAAAAUUUAACUGCUGCGCAAAAAAGUAUUGGUCACUCCAUCAACUCGUGACGGUGACAGUCUGCAGCAUAAUAAAAAUGAAAGGUCGCUUAUAGAAGGGAUCGAAAAUAUCGAGAACACUAUGCUUGAUGGGAAUGGUAAUAAGUUGCUUUGCCACACUCUCACGAAAUUAAUGGCGACCGUGGCAAUUCAAGGUGAAGAAAUUAAAUAACUUCGAUGUAUGAUUGAACGUUCGAUUAAAAAAGUAUUUGAAUCUCAUAUAACGUCGGACAGCUUUUUACAAAAGUAUCAGAUCCAGAAAAUGAAUUCAGCUGAUGAUUUUCUAGCAUUCGAUCAACGUUUAAACGAGGACAAAGAGUUCAGCCAAGAUUUCAAUGUCGCAAUGGAAUGCAUUGUAGAGUUGAACAUGAAGAGAACGGUGAAUGGAAUCAUCAAAAGGGACCGCAUUUUAUGGAAAACUUUUCGAAUUCAUUCGAUUCAUACAUUCGAAAGAAGAAAACGUUACAGAAAAAAACGUUCUAUCAAAGCCUUUCGGUUUGCCUCACCAUGCAAAAGAUUGGGAUGGAGGGCGUAAAUUGCGUACGCUGUAAGCAAAAAAAAGAAGGAAAUACGCAUUCUUAAAAAAAACCAAAGUCUGAUUUCAUUUAAGGUUUAAUUUAACGAGUUGAAGAACUAAGAUGUUUGAGUUCCGAUUUAAGUGAUUUCAAGUAUCUUUAACGUUUUACCAAAGACAGUGAAAUUUUGGUUGUUUAAUUUUUAUACAGCAUCAAGCUAUUUUCAUUUCUAUUUCAGCUUUAGAAUAAUUUUGAAUUCGAGCGUUAUUAAACAAAAGAAGCUUUAAUAGAUAUAAUUAAUUAUAACUCAACUAUU
rnacentral:misc_RNA from 1 species